rnacentral:lncRNA from 1 species
GCGCCGGGCAAAUCCUCAUCACACAUCGCCGUCGUCGGCACCAGGUGAACAGUGCCUAUAAUUGUGUGUGUGUGUAUAUACAUACAUACAUACACACAAACACAUCGUUGAUUGAACUAUAUAACAGUGCUUAUAAUGAUAAUCAAAGCUUUUGCCAUGAAAAAAUGAUAAUCAAAGCUUAUUAUAGCUUUUCCUGUACCAUCGAUCGGGAGCAGACUGUUCAACGCACAGUUAGCAACGACUAACACAGUGCUGAUCCCAUAUCUCGAUCGGUUGCUUUUCUGAAUUAACAAUACCGGUAUGUACUGGUAGCGAUAAGCCUAAUUAAUGUAUGUAUCUAUCUUGUUUUAUCAGGGUCCCAGCUCAUCUUCGUUUCUCCCGAUACUCCCACGGCCAAUCGUUGCAGGUAGGUGAUGAAGAAGCCUGAUGUGAUGCAGGGAAAAGAAAAGGGACUAGUCUCUCACGCGUGAUCCGGCAAGUGACAGUACACAAGGCAGCUAGUAUGAUGUAAGUACGUAUCAAGGAAUUAAUUCAAAUCAUUCAGCCUUUGCAUUGUCAUCUAUCACCCCAACAGUUUGGGAGGCAAACUAGUUACUAAUCUAAGUAUGGUACAACUACUCCGACAUCCCGUUCGCCAUCACCAAACAGAAGAUUAGCCAUGCGUAGUACAUUAAUAACACAUUACACAUGUCCUUUGUUUUGCAGAUCACAGACAAAUAAAUGGCUGAAUUCCUAUCUUUUGGUGGGUUUAUGUCAUGCAACUACCAAUAAAAGCAAGGUGUUGUGUCCCUUUCAUCCUUCUAGCUGGUAUCUUAACUUCCCUCUUCUGAUUGGCUACUACUACUUGACGGUCAAUUUAAUCAUAUUGGAUAAUUGUCUAUGUAGUACUAGUCUAUAU